UAUUCAGCGUGGGUGUUCUGAGACAUGCCAGGCAUAUGCACCUAUAGCAAUUGAACUGUGUGUAAUUGGACAAUUAGUCCUAAGGGGAACCUGCAUUGUUUUGCCGCAUGCAAUUUAUGUGAGGGCUCUAGCCUUAGCUCACGAGGGACAUUUGGGCAUUGUAGGCAUAAAACAACAUCAGGAGUAAAGUAUGGUGGCCUGCCAUGGACAAGGCUGCAGAGAGACAUAUUGUAUGAAGACCAGAUGUGCCAGAUCCACAGUGCUACCUGGCAGGACGUCGCCACGGACCUAUUGGGUCCACUACCAACAGGACACUCAAUACAAGUAGUUGUAGACUAUUACGGCAGAUAUUAUGAAUAUGAUGUCAUACAAUCGACCAAUGCAGAAAAGGUGAUUGAUGGUCUGGAGAAGAUUUUCAGUCAUCAUGGUCUACCAUUAACGAUUCGAUCUGAUUGCGACCCACGGUACAUAUCAUCCCAGUUCCAGAACUUCUGACAGGAAAAUGGGGUAUAGCAUGUAAAAAAAAAUGACACAAAAUGGGCAUAGGCAAAUGGUGAAGUGGAGCGGCAAAAUGCUUCCCUCAUGAAACGGAUUCACAUUGCACAAGCUGAGGGGCUGGACUGAAAGCGGAAGCUACGCGAGUACAUCACAGUCUACAGGUCCAUUGAUCACCAUGAUGCUGAGCAGAAAGGGAAAUCCAAGAUCUAUGCAGAGACAGGCACUCUGACGUGGACAUUGGAGACCAGGUUCUCCUAAAAUGGGACAAAACGGACAAGUUCACAACCUUCAGCGAGAUACCUCACACUGUGAUCAAUAAAGAGGGAAACAACAUGGUUGUUCAAUCUCCAACCGGAGCCAGGUAUUCCAGGAAUACAACAUUCGUGAAGAGGUAUACAAUUGAGGAGCCAGAUCCACAACCAAAGGACACCACACAACUGAAAGAGACUGGAACAGAGUCCUACUCUGAGACAUUACAUGGUCUCUGGUUUGGACUCUGUCUGUGAGGGAUCACCCGAAAGACCACGGAGACCCAUGCCAGUCAGGCCUCACAGACAAAUUAAACUGCCACAUAAGUACAAAGGACUAAUGCGAAGACUCAUUG
ensembl:lncRNA